UACAGAGGGGGCAAGCGUUGUUCGGAAUUACUGGGCGUAAAGGGCGCGUAGGCGGCCUGCUAAGUCGAACGUGAAAUCCCCGGGCUCAACCCGGGAACUGCGUCCGAUACUGGUUGGCUUGAAUUCGGGAGAGGGAUGUGGAAUUCCAGGUGUAGCGGUGAAAUGCGUAGAUAUCUGGAGGAACACCGGUGGCGAAGGCGGCAUCCUGGACCGAUAUUGACGCUGAUGCGCGAAAGCCAGGGGAGCAAACGGGAUUAGAAACCCCCGUAGUCC
rnacentral:rRNA from 1 species